rnacentral:lncRNA from 1 species
UGGUUGGAGACGGGCGAGAAGGACGGCGUGCCCGAGCGCGAGCUGCCCAGCGACACCAGCAUCACGGCGGCCUCGCACUCGUCGAACUCGAAGCGCGACAGGUCGGCCGGCGGCACCAGGCGGGGACGCGAGUCGCCCCGGGCGCUGCCGCUGGCCUCGCUGUCCCGCGACGUCUCGUCCCACUCGAACUCGGCGCUGCCCUCGCGCAUGGCAUUGCCGCCGCCGCCGCCGCCGCCGCUUCCGGCACCGCUCCCGCGAGCGCCGCCGGCUUCGGCCAAGCUCUCCAUCUCCUUGGUGCGCAUGGAGAGGUGGCGGGAGCAGUAGCCGCGCCGCUGCGACUCCUUCAUGCAGCCCUCGCGGGAGCACAGCCGCCGCCACUGCUUCCCGUUGAACUUCUUGCGGAUGCCGUUGGGCGUGCACACCACGUCGCCCUUCUUGUACUUCUGCUGCGCCGCCGUCAGCGGCGUCCGCGAGCGCCCCGACGAGCCCUUCUCCUUCUCCUUGUCCUUCUCCGACGCCGGGCUCAGACGCGCCGGAGAUUUCGGAGCCGCCGCCGGAGCCGGCGCCGGCGCCGCCGCCGGGAUUUCCGCCCGCGCCCCGGCGCUGAUCUUGGACACCUCGGCGUCUUCCGGAUGCUUCGCCUCCGGCCCCGGCGCUUCUUCGUCGUCUCCGUCCCCGCACGGAGGUUUCUCGCCUCCGUCGCGGCUCCAAGGAGGUUUCUUGGAUUCGUCCCGGCUCCAUGGAGGUUUCUCGGCUUCGUCGCGGCUCCACGGCGGCUUCUCGGCCUCGUCGCGGCUCCACGGCGGCUUCUCGGCUUCGUCCCUGCUCCAAGGUGGCUUCUUGGCUUCGUCCCGGCUCCAGGACGCUUCCUCGGCUUCGUCCCGUCUCCAAGGAGGUUUCUCGGCUUCAUCCCGGCUCCAAGGUGGCUUCUCGGCUUCAUCGCGGCUCCACGGUGGCUUCUUGGCUUCGUCCCGGCUCCAGGAUGGUUCCUCGGCCUCGUCCCUGCUCCACGGUGGCUUCUUGGCUUCAUCCCGGCUCCAGGACGGUUCCUCGGCCUCGUCCCUGCUCCAAGGAGGCUUCUCGGCCUCGUCCCUGCUCCAUGGUGGCUUCUCGGCCUCGUCCCUGCUCCAGGACAGUUCCUCGGCCUCAUCCCGGCUCCAAGGAGGCUUCUCGGCCUCGUCCCGGCUCCACGGCGGCUUCUCGGCCUCGUCCUGGCCCCAUGGCGGGCGCAGGAGGCGGAGGCCGGAGCGAGGCACCCAGGCGGAAUCGCGGUGAGCUCCGGGUCCGGGCCGGGCGAAGCGGAUCUUGUAGGAAGCGGCCUUGGCUCCGACCUCCACCACGGUGCCCUCUCCGUAGGCGCCGCGCCGGGCGUCGAGGCGGGCGC